rnacentral:sRNA from 1 species
AUAUUUUGCGACUUUUAAAGAUUCUCGAUGUCGGCUGCUCGAAGCCUCCUUCACUCACUCUCACGACUUUUGCAGCCUCUCCCGACCAACCCUACCACUCUUUCAUUCUUUUUUCCUUUUCUUUUUAUUGUCACUUUGCGUAUUUUUUUGUUUCAAUUUUAACCUUUUUCUGUUUCUUAUUAAUUCACAUAGAUCAUAUUAUGUUUUUAUUUUGAUUGUCAUGUUGGACAAAUCACACACUUCAUAUCGUUUAUUUUCUCCAAUGUCCAAAUAUAGAUUAUGUGGUUCAUUACUCACUCGAAAUGACACUAGUAUCUCAGUGAGAUGCGCAACUAUGACGGAAUGAUAACUUAGUUAUUUUUUUGUUUAACGAGAUUUUAUUUUUAAUCCGAAAUCCAUAAAUUGGACUACAUAAUAUCAAAACACAACCCAUGUAAAGUAAAACAAAUGU